rnacentral:rRNA from 1 species
UACGUAGGGUGCGAGCGUUAAUCGGAAUUACUGGGCGUAAAGCGUGCGCAGGCGGUUUUGUAAGCCAGAUGUGAAAGCCCCGGGCUUAACCUGGGAAUGGCAUUUGGGACUGCAAGGCUUGAGUGCGGCAGAGGAGACUGGAAUUCCUGGUGUAGCAGUGAAAUGCGUAGAUAUCAGGAGGAACACCGGUGGCGAAGGCGGCUCACUGGCCCGGUACUGACGCUGAGGCGCGAAAGCGUGGGGAGCAAACAGG